rnacentral:rRNA from 1 species
CCUGGUUGACCCUGCCAGUAGUAAUAUGCUUGUCUCAAAGAUUAAGCCAUGCAUGUGUAAGUAUGAACUAAUUCAAACUUUUAAACUGCGAAUGGCUCAUUAAAUCAGUUAUAGUUUGUUUGAUGGUACUUGCUACUCGGAUAACCGUAGUAAUUCUAGAGCUAAUACGUGCAACAAACCCCGACUUCUAGAAGGGACGCAUUUAUUAGAUAAAAGGUCGACACAGACCUAGUCCGUUGCUCUGAUGAUUCAUGAUAACUUGAAGGAUCGCACGGCCUUUGUGCUGGCGACGCAUCAUUCAAAUUUCUGCGCUAUAAACUUUCGAUGGUAGGAUAGUGGCCUACUAUGGUGGUGAUGGGUGAUGGAGAAUUAGGGUUUGAUUCCAUAGAGGGAGCCUGUGAAACGGCUACCACAUCCAAGGAAGGCAGCAGGCGCACAAAUUACCCAAUCCUGACAUGAGGAGGUAGUGACAAUAAAUAACAAUACCGGACUCUUUGAGUCUGGUAAUUGGAAUGAGUACAAUUUAAAUCCCUUAACGAGGAUCCAUUAGAGGGCAUGUCUUGUGCCAGCAGCCGCGGUAAUUCAAGCUCAAAUAGCGUAUAUUUAUGUUUUUGCAGUUAAAAAUCUCGUAGUUGGAUCUCGGGAUAUGUCUGUCGGUCCGCCUUAUGGUGUGCACCGUCAGUCGCGUCAUUUCUGCAAGCGAUGCAUUCCUAGCCUUAAUUGGCUGGGUCGUUCCUCCGACAUUGUUACUUUGAAGAAAUUAGAGUGCUCAAAGUAAGCCUUCGCUCUGUAUACAUCAGCAUGGGAUAACGUCACUUCGGGAUCGGAGUAAUGAUUAACUGGGACAAACGGGGGCAUUCGUAUUUCAUAGUCAGAGGUGAAAUUCUUGGAUUUUUGAAAGACGAACAACUGCAAAAGCAUUUGCCAAUGAUGUUUUCACUAAUCAAGAAUGAAAGUUGGGGGCUCGAAGAUGAUUAGAUACCGUCAUAGUCUCAACCAUAAAUGAUGCCGACUAGGGAUCGGCGAAUGUUGCUUAUAGGACAUCGCCGGCACCUUUCUCAGAAAUCAAAGUCUGUGGAUUGGGAGGGGGGUAUGGCCGCAAGGCUGAAACUUAAAGGAAUUGAUAGAAUGCCACCACUAGGAGUGGAGCCUGCGGCUUAAUUUGACUCAACACGGGGAAACUUACCAGGUCUAGACAUAGUAAGGAUUUACAGACUGAGAGCUCUUUUUUUUUUGUUUAAGGAAAAUAAAAUUAAAACAAAAUAGAAAUACAAGAAAUUGAAGGCGAUAGCCGAGGCCGGGGGAAAAUCUACAAGCCAUAAUGACCACCCCAGAAAACCCGAGCGGCAAAACAAGGCUGGAAAGCCAACAUACUGACUAACCAAACACAAAAAGUCCAAGAAGGGAGAGACAAGAACCAGCCCUCACAAUCAAAAAACCGGCAAAGAACAUAA